CCUACGGGAGGCAGCAGUGAGGAAUAUUGGUCAAUGGGCGCGAGCCUGAACCAGCCAAGUAGCGUGAAGGAUGACUGCCCUACGGGUUGUAAACUUCUUUUAUAAAGGCAUAAACGGAGGCACGGGUGCCUUUUUGUAUGUACUUUAUGAAUAAGGAUAGGCUAACUCCGUGCCAGCCGCCGCGGUAAUACGGAGGAUCCGAGCGUUAUCCGGAUUUAUUGGGUUUAAAGGGAACGUAGAUGGGUUGUUCAGUCAGUUGUGAAAGUUUGCGGCUCAACCGUAAAAUUGCACUUGAUACUGGCAGUCUUGAGUACAGUUGAGGUAGGCGGAAUUCGUGGUGUAGCGGUGAAAUGCUUAGAGAUCACGAAGAACUCCGAUUGCGAAGGCAGCUUACUAAACUGCCACUGACAUUGAUGCUCGAAAGUGUGGGUAUCAAACAGGAUUAGAUACCCUUGUAGUC
rnacentral:rRNA from 1 species